AAUCGCAGAAUUCUGCGAUAAAAUCAUUCAAGUUUCUGCCCUAUCAGCUUUGGAUGGUAGUGUAUUGGACUACCAUGGCUAUCACGGGUAACGGAGAAUUAGGGUUCGAUUCCGGAGAGGGAGCCUGAGAAACGGCUACCACAUCUACGGAGGGCAGCAGGCGCGAAAAUUGCCCAAUCCUGAUUCAGGGAGGCAGUGACAAGAAAUAACAACUCUCAACUUUGUUGAGAAGUGUAAUGAGGAUAAUUUACAAACCUUACCGAAAGCAAUUGGAGGGCAAGUCUUGGUGCCAGCAGCCGCGGUAAUUCCAGCUCCAAAAGCGUAUAUUAAAGUUGUUGCAGUUAAAAAGCUCGUAGUUGAAGUUCUGGCUGUAUUGGGCCUUUGCACUUGAUGCGAAGGACCAGCAGUCAUCCGCUUGCAAAUCAUGUCCUUCCUUAACCGGUAGG
rnacentral:rRNA from 1 species